ensembl:snoRNA small nucleolar RNA SNORD99
ACUGGUCAUUGAUGUGAGAAUUACUCUAACUGGACUGUUGGAUGACAGUUGCGGAUAUGGGACUGAGACCAGCA